GGAAACAGCUCUGGGAGUAGAAGGAGCUAGCCAACUGAAGGGUUCUGUCACCAUUUUGAGAAUGAAUCAAAAUAACAUUUCAAAUUCUUUAAUAUUAAAAUUCUUCUUUUCUUCCUCUCAGCCAGCUGGUGCAUCACUUUUUUCCAUUUCAUAGCUAAUUCAUAAUGGUUAUAAGAAAAUACUACCAUGGUACUAGUUCCCUGAGUUGCUACAUAAGCAGGGGCCCAUGAUGAAGGGAGUGUUUUCUGAGCGGUAAGUUUUCCAUAGACAUAACUGGAUAUGCACUUUGCAGAUGUUUGGAAUACUGGAGUCCAGGCUCUCCUAUAGGGAAGAUGUGUUUGGUCCAAAAUGGCUUAGUGUGAAGUUGCUCAAAUGACCUCUGAGUGAAUAUAAAACCUCAUUCAUAUCCUGGACACUAAGUACAGAGGCCAUUAAGUGCUUUGUCCAGAACAGUCCUCAUUCCAGAGAUAGUUUAUGGAUCUGUAGUGAGAUUUCCCUUGACUGAUGCAUACAUACAGUUGAUUUCUGCCCCAAAAUAGGAAGUAUUGGAAAUUUAAGCAUAAUUCAGAAUAAACGUUUCCUUGGGAAAAAAAGAAAAAGAAAGACGGAGGGGAAAAAAAAAUAAAGAGAGAGAAAAAAAAAAAAGAGAGAGACAAUAAAUAAUAAAGAAAAAGUAAAAAAAACAGACAAACAAACCCCCAAACCUAUGUUUGUGAGUGUAAAUAUUUUCAGCUUUUCGAGAUGAUGCUUUGAGUGAUGAACUCACUACUCCAAUCUCUUUAUCUUUAGAAGCUGGUCUAUUUGGCUGGGCUGGGAAGAGUCUGGAAGUUGCACGAAGAACUUUCAUACGUGCAUUUUUCUGUUAAAAAUGUUGCAUUUCCGUUUUUACAUGAAAAGAGACAUCCCAGACAAGUCUCACUAGCACAUCUGUCUCUGUUUCUUUUGUGCAAAUCUAAUAGCAACAAACAAGCUUUGGGAAGUUUCUUUGGCAUAUCACUAAUGAAGGGAAGAAUGCAGUGACUAAUUACAAUUUGGGAAACAGACACUCUUUGGGCAACAGACACAUUAUAAAUGCUAAGGGAACCACUUUGAUUAACCACAGAUUUUUUAUCUAAGUUUACUUACUUGAGAAUCAUCAAAAAUUUCUGUCUUCAAGAAAUCCACUGGCUGCCUGAUUGUCCCAUCUUGAGCAGUUCUUUUUAGCUAGCUGCCCACGGUUUUUGCCCACGGCUUUGUUCAUCACUAGAAGUGUGAAACAGAGUUUUGUUGCCUGGGUGCACACAUUACAAGAGCAUGGUCCUCUGAGCCCGGAGUGAACUAAAUCCCCCAGUAGGUCAGAAGCAUUUAUGGCUUAUUAUACAAACAGUGACAAGGAUCAAAUAAUUUGCACUGUGGGCUUUCACACGCUCUGGAGAAAUUGCUGAAAUUAUUAAAAACUAUGGGAAAUCCCAGCAAGUAAUCCAUCACCUUCACAAAUAUUUUCCUCUUUGCAUCUAAUUUCAUGCAGAUGUGUUAGAGUCAAGGCAACGAUGCUUGUGUUUGAAUCUCUGCUGAAAGAUAUAAUAUCAGUCUUGGUGAGCUCUUCAUGUUUAAAAGAAGAGGAAGUUUUCCUUCACCUUGAAGAAACUUUGGACCCAUACUUACCUGUUGGUGCCAGGAGUUGGUGUUUCAUUUGCUGGAAAGCUUCCAGAGAGCUCUGCGCUCCUGUCAGACCCAUGGUUCCCUGGCUGGAGAGAGUGGAAUGACAUACAGAACCUCAACAGUGCAAGAAAUGGGCACUGAGUGAUGUCUGGAAGAUGGAGUGGCCAUCUCCAAAACAGCCACAGGUUGCCCUCACACUCAUGGCCAUUCACAAUCUCUCUGCACAGAGGCAAACCAGCCAUUCUGCUCCAAGCACCAAGUUUAAGUGAAGGCAUACAAGCAGAGAUUCUUCAUACUCAGAAGACUCAUCUGAAGUUCAUUCUUGAAACCUGUAAGUCACAAGAGGAAAAGAACAUGGGAGUGAGAGACAAAUCUGAGGAAGGAGGAAUUAUGACUAAUAAGAAGAAAGGAGGAAAAUAUUUUCAGGAUGGAAAAGUCAACAGCUUUUAGUAAGAGACAUUUUUCUUUUAAAAGAUUACAUUCAAUUUCCAAUCACAAAAAAAAAAUUAAAUGUUAGUACAUGGCAAAGUGUGCAUGUAUGGUUGUGAACAGUGAUUAUAAUAACACGCUCUUAAAGAUUCUGAAGAAUCUGUGGUUCCCACUUGCUUCAGUCGUGGAUCUGGAUCCCUACAGUUCCCAGCCCCUGUCUUUAAACAGUGACUCAUUUUCCAGACAAAAGACAGGCACUAUAACUGCACAAGAUCAAUGGUAUAUGCACUUAUAUUAGCUGAGUGGUGGGACGUGUUCUGCUUGGUUUUGACCUGUAGGUGCCAUACCCAGCACCACCUGUCAGCGUAUCAGCAACCAGCAUCCACCAAGCUCAGCUAUUGAUUGUUCCCAACAACAGCCACACAGAUUAAUAUUGUUUUUUGUCAUCCUUCUCUUCUAAACUCUUUUAUGAGGAAUGUUCUCAUAUUCAGCAGUAUUCUGGGAAGCACCAUUCCAAGGCUUACCUCCAGUUUAUACUACACUUCAUAUAUCUGCUCUGACUGCAGAAGUAGAUUAAAG
ensembl:lncRNA